CUGCUACACAUGCAGUCGAGCGGUAGCACAAGAGAGCUUGCUCUCUGGGUGACGAGCGGCGGACGGGUGAGUAAUGUCUGGGAAACUGCCUGAUGGCGGGGGAUAACUAGUGGAAACGGUAGCUAAUACCGCAUAACGUCGCAAGACCAAAGUGGGGGACCUUCGGGCCUCACGCCAUCAGAUGUGCCCAGGUGGGAUUAGCUGGUAGGUGGGGUAACGGCUCACCUAGGCGACGAUCCCUAGCUGGUCUGAGAGGAUGACCAGCCACACUGGAACUGAGACACGGUCCAGACUCCUACGGGAGGCAGCAGUGGGGAAUAUUGCACAAUGGGCGCAAGCCUGAUGCAGCCAUGCCGCGUGUGUGAAGAAGGCCUUCGGGUUGUAAAGCACUUUCAGCGAGGAGGAAGGGUAAUGUGUAAAAAAAAUUUGAAAAAAAGGAGGGGGGG
rnacentral:rRNA from 1 species